rnacentral:lncRNA from 1 species
GUAGUACAAACUUGCUGUCCUGUACCAUUUCAACACUGAAAGAAGUACGUUUGUCUGAGCGAAGCCAAUUGGAAGCACGUACCUCUUAGUGAAGCUAAUUGAGAGCACAUACCCUCUGUCUUGUUGCGAAGCUGAUUGGAAGCUGUACAUAUAUACCUCUGUCUGCUAAAGCUAAUUAGAAGCAGUACCCCCGGCAGAGUGGUCCCAAUUAGAGGCAGUAACUCUGAGCGAAGCCAAUUGGAAGCAUGUACCUCUGUAAAAUUUGAUUAAACACAGUUCAACAAAUUUUCUUUAGCAUAAUUCUUUUUAAAGUCUACUUUUAUACCUUCUUUCAUUUUUUAUUUAUUAUUAUAUCCCC